GGCCUUUUGUUUAUGAUUUAAGGUCUAGCCUGCCCAAUGAGAUUUUGAAUGGCCGCGGUAUUUUAACCGUGCAAAGGUAGCAUAAUCAUUAGUUUUUUAAUUAAAAGCUGGUAUGAAUGGUUGAAUGAAAAAAUAACUGUCUCUAUUUAAAUUUUUUAGAAUUUUAUUUUUAAGUAAAAAAGCUUAAAUUAUAUUAGAAGACGAGAAGACCCUGUAGAGUUUAAUUAAUUAUUAUAAUAGGAUUUUUAGUAUUCUUAUUUUUAUUAUUUAUAAUUAAUUUAGUUGGGGUGAUUUAAAAAUUUAAUAAACUUUUUUUAUAUUUAUACAUUAAUUUAUGAUUACUUGAUCCUUAUUUUAAGAUUAAAAGAUAAAAUUACCUUAGGGAUAACAGCGUAAUUUUUUUAGAGAGUUCUAAUCGAAAAAAAAGAUUGCGACCUCGAUGUUGGAUUAAAAUAAAAAUUUGGUGUAGAAGCUAAAGUAUUUAGGUCUGUUCGACCUUUAAAAUUUUACAUGAUCUGAGUUUAAACCGGUGUAAGCCAGGUUGGUUUCUAUCUCUAUUUUAAAUAAAUAUUUUAGUACGAAAGGACCAAAUAUUAGGUUUAAAAUUUUAUAUUUGAAUAUAAUU
rnacentral:rRNA from 1 species